rnacentral:rRNA from 1 species
AACUGGGAUUAGAUACCCCACUAUGCCUAGCCUUAAACACAAAUAGUUAUGUAAACAAAACUAUUCGCCAGAGUACUACCGGCAAUAGCUUAAAACUCAAAGGACUUGGCGGUGCUUUAUACCCUUCUAGAGGAGCCUGUUCUAUAAUCGAUAAACCCCGAUAAACCUCACCAUUCCUUGCUACUACAGUCUAUAUACCGCCAUCUUCAGCAAACCCUAAAAAGGUACAAAAGUAAGCACAAUCAUAAUACAUAAAAACGUUAGGUCAAGGUGUAACCUAUGGAACGGAAAGAAAUGGGCUACAUUUUCUAAUCUAAGAAAAUCCAACACGAAAGUUAUUAUGAAACUAAUAACCAAAGGAGGAUUUAGCAGUAAACUAAGAAUAGAGUGCUUAGUUGAAUUAGGCCAUGAAGCACGCACACACCGCCCGUCACCCU